GCCCUCAAACUUUUGGCUAACUCCAGCCCUUCACCAUGCCUCAUAUUGACAACGAUGUGAAACUGGACUUCAAGGAUGUCCUGUUAAGGCCCAAACGCAGCAUCUUUAAGUCUCAAAGUGAGGUGGAUCUCACAAGAUCCUUUUCAUUUCGGAACUCAAAGCAGACGUACAAUGGUGUCCCUAUCAUUGCCGCCAAUAUGGGUACCAUGGGUACCUUUGAGACGGCUAAGUUUCUCUGUAAGUUCUCCCUUUUCACUGCUGUCCACAAGCACUACAGCCUCCAUCAGUGGAAAAAGUUUGCCGGCCAGAAUCCUGACUGUCUUGAGUACUUGGCUGCCAGCUCAGGCACAGGCUCUUCUGACUUUGAGAAGCUGGAACAGAUCCUGGAAGCUGUUCUCCAAGUGAAAUAUAUAUGCCUGGAUGUGGCAAAUGGCUACUCUGAACAUUUUGUUGAAUUUGUAAAGGAUGUAAGGAAGCACUUCGCCCAACACACCAUCAUGGCAGGGAAUGUGGUAACAGGAGAGAUGGUGGAAGAACUAAUCCUCUCAGGGGCUGACAUCAUCAAAGUGGGAACUGGUCCAGGCUCUGUUUGUACAACCUGGAAGAAAACUGGAGUAGGGUAUCCACAGCUCAGUGCAGUGAUGGAGUAUGCAGAUGCUGUUCAUGGCUUCAAAGGUCUUAUCAUUUCAGAUGGAGGCUGCAGCGGUCCUGGGGAUGUGGCAAAGGCUUUUGGAGCAGGAGCAGACUUUGUGAUGCUGGGUGGCAUGCUGUCUGGACAUAGUGAAUCAGGUGGUGAACUCAUCGAGAGGGAUGGCAAAAAGUACAAGCUUUUCUAUGGAAUGAGUUCUGAAAUGGCCAUGAAGAAGUAUUCAGGAGGUGUGGCUGAAUACAAGGCCUCAGAAGGAAAGACAGUAGAAGCUCCCCUUAAAGGGGAUGUGGAACAUACUAUUUGUGACAUCUUAGGAGGGAUCCAAUCUAUAUGUACCUACGUGGGAGCAGCUAAACUGAAGGAGUUAAGUCGGAGAACUACCUUCAUCCAAGUCACCCAGCAAGUGACUCCAAUCUUGAGCUAUUCCCACUAG